rnacentral:rRNA from 1 species
AAUAUUGGGCAAUGGGCGCAAGCCUGACCCAGCAACGCCGCGUGAAGGAAGAAGGCUUUCGGGUUGUAAACUUCUUUUGUCGGGGACGAAACAAAUGACGGUACCCGACGAAUAAGCCACGGCUAACUACGUGCCAGCAGCCGCGGUAAUACGUAGGUGGCAAGCGUUAUCCGGAUUUACUGGGUGUAAAGGGCGUGUAGGCGGGAUUGCAAGUCAGAUGUGAAAACUGGGGGCUCAACCUCCAGCCUGCAUUUGAAACUGUAGUUCUUGAGUGCUGGAGAGGCAAUCGGAAUUCCGUGUGUAGCGGUGAAAUGCGUAGAUAUACGGAGGAACACCAGUGGCGAAGGCGGAUUGCUGGACAGUAACUGACGCUGAGGCGCGAAAGCGUGGGGAGCAAACAG